GGGCUGCUGACUCAUGUUCUGGCUUGAAAGGAACUCAAAAAGCAGCAUGCUAUGUAGAGCAAGGAAAAACAUCGAUGGGUAAAGGAAAACUCAAGUUCUUCUAGCACAUUGAUAAUUUUCUAGCUGAAAGAGCGUUUUGCUGAAUGACUGCUCCUUUCAUUAUGAGGGGCAUAUUCAUGUAACUCAGUCUAACUAUUCCUCACAUGUUAUUUCAGACUUGUGUGCAAUAGUUUGUUUAUAUAUAUCGAAUUCCACAAAUUUUGAUCCAGGAAACUGUUUGACACGGGGGAAAAUUCUCUGUUGCUAAGGAAUCGAUGCGACUGUUUGAGUUGCAUUUUCUUGUGGUAUACAAAUGUAAAUCUGGAAACGUAGCAGUAUAUUGUGCAAAUAUGUAUGGCCCUUC
rnacentral:misc_RNA from 1 species